rnacentral:rRNA from 1 species
UACGAAGGGUGCAAACGUUGCUCGGAAUCAUUGGGCGUAAAGCGCACGUAGGCGGCCUGUUAAGUCGGAUGUGAAAUCCCUCGGCUCAACCGAGGACGUGCAUCCGAAACUGGCGGGCUCGAGUACUGAAGAGGGUCGCAGAAUUCCCGGUGUAGAGGUGAAAUUCGUAGAUAUCGGGAGGAAUACCAGUGGCGAAGGCGGCGACCUGGGCAGAUACUGACGCUGAGGUGCGAAAGCGUGGGGAGCAAACAGG